rnacentral:rRNA from 1 species
AUUGAACGCUGGCGGCAUGCUUUACACAUGCAAGUCGAGCGGCAGCGCGGGGGCAACCCUGGCGGCGAGCGGCGAACGGGUGAGUAAUGCAUCGGAACGUACCCUGGAGUGGGGGAUAACGCCGCGAAAGCGGCGCUAAUACCGCAUAUGCUCUGAGGAGGAAAGUGGGGGACCGCAAGGCCUCACGCUCUGGGAGCGGCCGAUGUCCGAUUAGCUAGUUGGUGAGGUAAAGGCUUACCAAGGCGACGAUCGGUAGCUGGUCUGAGAGGAUGAUCAGCCACACUGGGACUGAGACACGGCCCAGACUCCUACGGGAGGCAGCAGUGGGGAAUUUUGGACAAUGGGGGCAACCCUGAUCCAGCCAUGCCGCGUGAGUGAAGAAGGCCUGG